CCUGCUCUCUACCGCUGACGGCUCUGGCCCACUUGUCAUCAUCGGCAUGAAACCGUGUUCGUCAGGAACACUGCAGCUCCCCAAACCGCAGCGAGGUCGAAUCGAUCGAUUCUUGACCCCAGGACACGGGAUCCACCCUAUAUAAGUUCCCCAACCCCUCCUCUACCGAUUUUUCUUCGUUUCGCCGCCUCCCGUGCCCUAGAACGGCGCCCAGAUCUCGCUGGAGUUUGCCGCCGUCUGAAGCUUCUGCCGGUCGAUUGCAUCGCCUCUGGAGGGAAGCACCCACCCGAGUGCUUCGAGCUCGCCCCAACGAACACCCCACCGCCCGAGCUCCAGCCACCCUCUGUCGUCAUCCCCGCUCGCCACCGACGCCGCUGAGGACGUCGUCGAGACCGCAGCAGAGCUCCACGCCCCGUACGAUACCCUCCGGAGUCUGGAGACCACCGGAGCAGGCGCCACCAUCGCUGCCCGAGCCGCCGGCGCCGUCCGUCUCCACCUCCGACGACGCCCAGCUCUGUUCUCAGAUUGUUCGGAGUGUGAAGCGGAUCGGAAUUAAGCGUUAGAGUACUUCAACACCGUUCAAGGCAAGUUGCACUUUUGAUUAUGUUCAUCCUAUAUGUCUGUUGUGCACUGUUAUGAUAUGUUAUAUGCUUGGUAUGCCUCUUAUAUUGUGUGCCGCCAUGUGCGUGUACUGUUUGCAUUGUUUAAUUGUAUGCUUGGAUUUGCUAUGGUAGACGUGGGUAUGUGUCGAGUGGUGCAUGGAAGUGGUGAGUCUUUAUAGCUGUAGGCUCGGGACUUUUUCUCAGGUGAAUGCGUCAAUGGCUGAGCGCUCUAUUGUCCCUAGAGAAUGCGCCAUGACUGAGCACACUUGGGUUGUCGGGGCUUUUUCUCAUGUGAAUGCGUCACUGGCUGAGCGCUCUAUUGUCCCUUGAGAAUGCGCCAGGGCUGAGCGCACUUGAGACAUCUUGAAGAUCUUUAUCAUCUGUGUUGUUUGCACCUUGCCUAUGUCAUGGAGGUAGGUGAAGGUAGUUUUACGCGAAACCAAACUUGAGUGUUUUGUUUGUCAUACUUUGCAGGUAGAUGUAGGUUUGCUUUAUCAUUAUGUGUAAUUUGCCAAUACAUUCAAUGUAUUGACCCUUUGUGGCUGCAACUUAUCAUGUUGCAGGAUAUUCAGGUGAUCAGUGAGAUACAGUAGGGUCGCGAGUCUUCACUCAACAUUUUCCCCAGUGGGCAUUGAUGGGACUCAUCAUUUGUUAGGCUACAUUUCCACUGUUAUUAUUGAAUAAAGCUAGCUAUGUGCUACUCAGUUUGUAAUACUUUGCGAAUUCUGGAUCAUACGUUAUAGUAAAUGAUGCACUUGUUAUUUGA